UACGAAGGUCCCGAGCGUUAUCCGGAUUUAUUGGGUUUAAAGGGUGCGUAGGCGGGUUAUUAAGUCAGUGGUGAAAGCCUACAGCUUAACCGUAGAAUUGCCAUUGAUACUGAUGAUCUUGAGUAUGAUUGAGGUGGGCGGAAUGUGUCAUGUAGCGGUGAAAUGCUUAGAUAUGACAUAGAACACCAAUUGCGUAGGCAGCUUACUACUCGAUCAUUGACGCUGAGGCACGAAAGCGUGGGGAGCAAACAGG
rnacentral:rRNA from 1 species